AGUGAACGCUGGCGGUAGACCUAACACAUGCAAGUCGAACGGCAGCACAGUAAGAGCUUGCUCUUACGGGUGGCGAGUGGCGGACGGGUGAGGAAUACAUCGGAAUCUACUUUUUCGUGGGGGAUAACGUAGGGAAACUUACGCUAAUACCGCAUACGACCUACGGGUGAAAGCAGGGGAUCUUCGGACCUUGCGCGAUUGAAUGAGCCGAUGUCGGAUUAGCUAGUUGGCGGGGUAAAGGCCCACCAAGGCGACGAUCCGUAGCUGGUCUGAGAGGAUGAUCAGCCACACUGGAACUGAGACACGGUCCAGACUCCUACGGGAGGCAGCAGUGGGGAAUAUUGGACAAUGGGCGCAAGCCUGAUCCAGCCAUACCGCGUGGGUGAAGAAGGUCUUCGGGUUGUAAAGCCCUUUUGUUGGGAAAGAAAAGCAGCAGGUUAAUACCCUGCUGUUCUGACGGUACCCAAAGAAUAAGCACCGGCUAACUUCGUG
rnacentral:rRNA from 1 species